AGCGAACGCUGGCGGCAGGCCUAACACAUGCAAGUCGAACGGAUCCUUCGGGAUUAGUGGCGGACGGGUGAGUAAUGUAUCGGAACGUGCCCAGUUGUGGGGGAUAACUGCUCGAAAGAGCAGCUAAUACCGCAUACGACCUGAGGGUGAAAGCGGGGGAUCGCAAGACCUCGCGCAAUUGGAGCGGCCGAUAUCAGAUUAGGUAGUUGGUGAGGUAAAGGCUCACCAAGCCGACGAUCUGUAGCUGGUCUGAGAGGACGACCAGCCACACUGGGACUGAGACACGGCCCAGACUCCUACGGGAGGCAGCAGUGGGGAAUUUUGGACAAUGGACGCAAGUCUGAUCCAGCCAUGCCGCGUGCGGGAAGAAGGCCUUCGGGUUGUAAACCGCUUUUGUCAGGGAAGAAACGCUCUGGGUUAAUACCUCGGGGUAAUGACGGUACCUGAAGAAUAAGCACCGGCUAACUACGUGCCAGCAGCCGCCGUAACAC
rnacentral:rRNA from 1 species